rnacentral:rRNA from 1 species
GACGAACGCUGGCGGCGUGCUUAACACAUGCAAGUCGAACGAAGAGCGAUGGAAGCUUGCUUCUAUCAAUCUUAGUGGCGAACGGGUGAGUAACGCGUAAUCAACCUGCCCUUCAGAGGGGGACAACAGUUGGAAACGACUGCUAAUACCGCAUACGAUCUAAUCUCGGCAUCGAGGAUAGAUGAAAGGUGGCCUCUACAUGUAAGCUACCACUGAAGGAGGGGAUUGCGUCUGAUUAGCUAGUUGGAGGGGUAACGGCCCACCAAGGCGAUGAUCAGUAGCCGGUCGGAGAGGAUGAACGGCCACAUUGGGACUGAGACACGGCCCAGACUCCUACGGGAGGCAGCAGUGGGGAAUCUUCCGCAAUGGACGAAAGUCUGACGGAGCAACGCCGCGUGAGUGAUGACGGCCUUCGGGUUGUAAAGCUCUGUUAAUCGGGACGAAAGGCCUUCUUGCGAACAGUUAGAAGGAUUGACGGUACCGGAAUAGAAAGCCACGGCUAACUACGUG